rnacentral:rRNA from 1 species
UCCUGGCUCAGAAUGAACGCUGGCGGCGUGCCUAACACAUGCAAGUCGUACGAGAAAGACUGUUUUCGGAUGGUCGAGUAAAGUGGCGCACGGGUGAUUAACGCGUAGGUAACCUACCCUUGUAUUGGGGAUAACAGGACGAAAGUUCUGCUAAUACCGGAUGUGACCUGGGGCUGGAGGGUUUCAGGUUAAAGUGGGCCUCUCGAAGAAGCUCAUGUACAGGGAUGGGCCUGCGUCCUAUCAGCUUGUUGGUGGGGUAAUGGCCUACCAAGGCGACGACGGGUAGCUGGUCUGAGAGGAUGAUCAGCCACACUGGCACUGGAACACGGGCCAGACUCCUACGGGAGGCAGCAGUGAGGAAUUUUGCGCAAUGGGAGCAAUCCUGACGCAGCAACGCCGCGUGGGUGAAGAAGGCCUUCGGGUCGUAAAACCCUGUCAGGUGGGAAGAAGGGUCCUAUCAGGAAAGGGGUGGGAUUUGACGGUACCACCAGAGGAAGCACCGGCUAACUCCGUGCCAGCAGCCGCGGUAAUACGGAGGGUGCGAGCGUUAUUCGGAAUUACUGGGCGUAAAGCGCGUGUAGGCGGAUUAGCAAGUCUGAUGUGAAAGCUCCCGGCUUAACCGGGAGAGGUCCUUCAAUACUUCCAGUCUUGAGUGCAGUAGAGGGAAGGGGAAUUCCGGGUGUAGAGGUGAAAUUCGUAGAUAUCGGGAGGAACACCAGUGGCGAAAGCGCCUUUCUGGACGGUAACUGACGCUCAGACGCGAAAGCUAGGGUAGCAAACGGGAUUAGAGACCCCGGUAGUCCUAGCUGUAAACGA